rnacentral:rRNA from 1 species
GAGUUUGAUCAUGGCUCAGAACGUACGCUGGCGGCACGCCUAACACAUGCAAGUCGAGCGAAGUAGCAAUACUUAGUGGCAGACGGGUGAGUAACAUGUAGGUAUCUUCCCUUUGGCCUGGAAUAACACGAGGAAACUUGUGCUAAUACCGGAUAAGUCUUUACGGAGAAAGCUUUAUGCACCUUUGGAUGAGCCUGCACUUGAUUAGUUUGUUGGUAGGGGUAAUGGCCUACCAAGACUGUGAUCAAUAGCUGAUUUGAGAGGAUGAUCAG